rnacentral:rRNA from 1 species
CAAGCCUGACCCAGCAACGCCGCGUGAGGGAAGAAGGCUUUCGGGUUGUAAACCUCUGUCCUUGGUGACGAAAAAAAUGACGGUAGCCAAGGAGGAAGCCCCGGCUAACUACGUGCCAGCAGCCGCGGUAAUACGUAGGGGGCGAGCGUUGUCCGGAAUUACUGGGCGUAAAGGGUGCGUAGGUGGCCUUUUAAGUUGGAUGUGAAAUACCCGGGCUUAACUUGGGGGGUGCAUCCAAAACUGGGAGGCUAGAGUGCAGGAGAGGAAAGCGGAAUUCCUAGUGUAGCGGUGAAAUGCGUAGAUAUUAGGAGGAACACCAGUGGCGAAGGCGGCUUUCUGGACUGUAACUGACACUGAGGCACGAAAGCGUGGGGAGCAAACAGGAUUAGAUACCCUGGUAGUCCACGCGGUAAACGAUGAAUACUAGGUGUAGGGGGU